CCUUCGAUAGCUCAGUUGGUAGAGCGGUGGACUGUAGAGCGAGUCGAGUGCGAUAGUAAUCCAUAGGUCACUGGUUCAAAUCCGGUUCGAAGGA
rfam:Anopheles minimus strain MINIMTS1 unplaced genomic scaffold supercont1.2, whole genome shotgun sequence.